AAAUUGAAGAGUUUGAUCAUGGCUCAGAUUGAACGCUGGCGGCAGGCCUAACACAUGCAAGUCGAACGGUAACAGGAAACAGCUUGCUGUUUCGCUGACGAGUGGCGGACGGGUGAGUAAUGUCUGGGAAACUGCCUGAUGGAGGGGGAUAACUACUGGAAACGGUAGCUAAUACCGCAUAACGUCGCAAGACCAAAGAGGGGGACCUUCGGGCCUCUUGCCAUCGGAUGUGCCCAGAUGGGAUUAGCUAGUAGGUGGGGUAACGGCUCACCUAGGCGACGAUCCCUAGCUGGUCUGAGAGGAUGACCAGCCACACUGGAACUGAGACACGGUCCAGACUCCUACGGGAGGCAGCAGUGGGGAAUAUUGCACAAUGGGCGCAAGCCUGAUGCAGCCAUGCCGCGUGUAUGAAGAAGGCCUUCGGGUUGUAAAGU
rnacentral:rRNA from 1 species